CUCAUUGCCAGAUGCAAAAGAAGGAGAAACCCAUGACAAAAAGAAAGGGGAGAAUAGACUCCAAACAAGAGUAGAUGUGAUGACACCAAGAUACUAGCAGCCACAUAUUACCUCGAGAGGUUAACCAGAAUGCAAAUCAACAGAAUAUGAUGCUGACCAAGUACCAGGAAGAGGUGUCCCCAUCACUGUAGAUGACAAGUGAUGACAGUUAUCUUGAUAGUCUACAGGAAUAAUUCAAGUGCAUUCAUAUGCAGUUUACUGAUUUGUAUGAUGUAUUUUGAUAAUUGUUUUGGCAUUCUAAUGUCAGCUGAGUAACACCUCCAUAAUGGAGACAAAUUAAGGAACUUCUGUUUUGAAGCAGUAAAAUAGUCUCAGCAAUAAUUUUUAUUUAUUUUGCCAGCAGAACAGAAGUUUCCAUUAAUUUUCCCACACAAACAUUUUGUGCUUUUCUGUUCCCCAUUUGUGCUUAUUGUCCUGCUGAACAAUUGGACCACCUUUUCAGUGACAUAUUUUUUACACUGCAUGACAAUGUGAUUUAGAAGUAUGAUUUGAUAUAGUUUGAUGGUUUGAUAUUAGUAUAUGUGGCAUGUAGUAAACAAUGGAAUAGUAAAGUUAUGCCAUAUUUCUUGUAUUUCAUGAUACAUUGUAGUUAGUAUUUAAUUAAGGCUUUACAUACUGGCAACUAAGUCUCUGCAUGUCUGCCAUGGAAGGCAUGUAAAACUGUUGCCCUUUACCAGAACGAAGAAAGUUUUAUAUGUGUAAUUCAUGAUAUGUGAAUAAUGUCUUACAUGUGAUGUUACAUCUAACUAUUUAAUGUGUAUGCUGUUAGUCUUAGAAAAAAGAAAAUUACCCCAUCUUGAAAUAUUCAGCUUUGUCAGUUUUUGUUGCUCCAGAUUUUGCCAUAUUUUGUUUCUGGAGGACAUUUUGUUAAAUGUAGUUACGUAUCAUGGGUUCAUACCAAAUCAUUUGAUAAAGGUAAUAAUUUAUAAACAAGAUG
rnacentral:lncRNA from 1 species